AAUUUUCCGCAAUGGGCGAAAGCCUGACGGAGCAAUACCGCGUGAGGGAGGAAGGCUCUUGGGUUGUAAACCUCUUUUCUCAGGGAAUAAGCAAGUGAAGGUACCUGAGGAAUCAGCAUCGGCUAACUCCGUGCCAGCAGCCGCGGUAAUACGGAGGAUGCAAGCGUUAUCCGGAAUGAUUGGGCGUAAAGCGUCCGUAGGUAGCAGUGUGUGUCUAUUGUUAAAGAGUUUGGCUUAACCAAAUAAAGGCGGUAGAAACUACACAGCUAGAGUGCGUUCGGGGCAGAGGGAAUUCCUGGUGUAGCGGUGAAAUGCGUAGAGAUCAGGAAGAACACCGGUGGCGAAAGCGCUCUGCUAGGCCGCAACUGACACUGAGGGACGAAAGCUAGGGGAGCGAAUGGGAUUAGAUACCCCAGUAGUCCUAGCCGUAAACGAUGGAUACUAGGCGUUGAGAGUAUCGACCCUCUCAGUGCCGUAGCUAACGCGUUAAGUAUCCCGCCUGGGGAGUACGCACGCAAGUGUGAAACUCAAAGGAAUUGACGGGGGCCCGCACA
rnacentral:rRNA from 1 species